AUGUUCGCCUGCGCCAAGCUCGCCUGCACCCCCUCUCUAUCCGAGCUGGAUCCAGAGUUGCAUACAGACCAAUUUCUGCAUCAGUGUUAUCUCGACCAGAGGCUAGUAGGACUGGAGAGGCUCUACGGUAUUUAAUGGGGCCCAGAAUGGUGUGUCUCAGCUAAUCCAAAGGGAGUUUCAGACCAGUGCAAUCAGCAGAGACAUUGAUACUGCUGCCAAAUUUAUUGGUGCAGGUGCUGCAACAGUAGGAGUGGCUGGUUCUGGUGCUGGUAUUGGAACAGUCUUUGGCAGCCUUAUCAUUGGUUAUGCCAAAACCCUUCGCUGAAGCAGCAGCUGUUCUCAUAUGCUAUCCUGGGAUUUGCCUUGUCUGAAGCUAUGGGUCUCUUUUGUUUGAUGGUUGCUUUCUUGAUUUUGUUUGCCAU
rnacentral:lncRNA from 1 species